AAAACGUCUCUUCUCGCUGGUAAAAGGUGACUUGAAGCGGUGAGCUAACGCCACCGAACUUUUCUGGAACGCAUGCGCAUAAGCGCUCAGUCUAAGCAAAUGAAGAUGAAAGAGGAAGCCAGGGGUCAGGAAUUAGAAAACCUACAGACUUUCCUGUCUCAGAAGAGGCUCUGGCUCCACCAGAUCACCAACCAGUUCUGAGGACGAACCUCCACAUCGUCUUCAUGGUGGAAGGCUUUUUUUUUUUUUUUUUCCAAACUGAGCAGCUGGCCACGUUUUUAACAGCAACAACUGGGCCCUGUGAUGGACUGGUGACCCGUCCAGGGUGAACCCCGCCUCUCAUCUGAUGACUGCUGGAGACGGGCACCACCAGCCCCCCUCACCACCCUGCGAGGAUCAACGUGUUCAGUUCAUGGAUGGAAAGCUUUUAAGAAGACACCCAGAAAUGUUUUUUUCACUCCAGGCAUCCGGUCCCAAUCAGUCUUAAAAUUGGGACGUCCACAACGUCUUAAAAUUGUUUUUGUAAAGUGCAGUGGUGCAGUUAAUGGGAAUGUUCUGAUCCUCACUGUUCUUGGGAAGGAGAAAUGUCCGUUUGUCUGGAGUGAUACUGUGAUACUGAAUUAAAACAAUACUCUGUUCUUGGUGAAAUAUUUUUCACAUUUCCUCUAAAGUGUACCUGUUGUUUUAUUGUGCUAAUUUUCCUAAGGAUGUUGUCUGGAAAUUUCGAAUGUAUUGACAAUUUGUACAAUUCUGUGAAAGUAUAUUGGCAAUGUGCGCUUGAAAAAUGUGGAUAAGACUGACAUGAUAGUGUCGUAAACGUAACACCUGUUAGGAACAUACUAACAGGCGUCAUGAAGUGUCAUUCGGUAAAUAAUUGCACUUUUAAUGAGAAGUUGCUUUCAAAGUUGGAUGACAGGUGUUAUGUUUAUGACAGUGUUAUGUCAGUCUUAUGCACACCCCAUCAAAUAAAGUGUUACCAAAAUGGUAAUAUAUUGAAAGCACAAUGUCCACUUUUCACCUGGAAAGUGUGUUGUAAUUGAUCCUUCUGUGUUCUGGUGGCCUGAUGUGUUUGCAGUACUGCAGUGUGUAUGAAGCAUGUAAUGUACAAAGUGGCAAAGCAGAAUAAUUAAAGACAUUAAGUAACUAAAAAGUUACUUCA